AAAGCGCGCGCAGGCGGUCUCUUAAGUCUGAUGUGAAAGCCCACGGCUCAACCGUGGAGGGUCAUUGGAAACUGGGAGACUUGAGUGCAGGAGAGAAAAGUGGAAUUCCACGUGUAGCGGUGAAAUGCGUAGAGAUGUGGAGGAACACCAGUGGCGAAGGCGGCUUUUUGGCCUGUAACUGACGCUGAGGCGCGAAAGCGUGGGGAGCAAACAGGAUUAGAUACCCUGGUAGUCCACGCCGUAAACGAUGAGUGCUAGGUGUUGGGGGGUUCCACCCUCAGUGCUGAAGUUAACACAUUAAGCACUCCGCCUGGGGAGUACGACCGCAAGGUUGAAACUCAAAGGAAUUGACGGGGGCCCGCACAAGCAGUGGAGCAUGUGGUUUAAUUCGAAGCAACGCGAAGAACCUUACCAGGUCUUGACAUCCUUUGACCACUCUAGAGAUAGAGCUUUCCCCUUCGGGGGACAAAGUGACAGGUGGUGCAUGGUUGUCGUCAGCUCGUGUCGUGAGAUGUUGGGUUAAGUCCCGCAACGAGCGCAACCCUUGACCUUAGUUGCCAGCAUUCAGUUGGGCACUCUAAGGUGACUGCCGGUGACAAACCGGAGGAAGGUGGGGAUGACGUCAAAUCAUCAUGCCCCUUAUGACCUGGGCUACACACGUGCUACAAUGGAUGAUACAAAGGGUUGCGAAGCCGCGAGGCCAAGCCAAUCCCAAAAAGUCAUUCUCAGUUCGGAUUGUAGGCUGCAACUCGCCUACAUGAAGCCGGAAUUGCUAGUAAUCGCGGAUCAGCAUGCCGCGGUGAAUACGUUCCCGGGCCUUGUACACACCGCCCGUCACACCACGAGAGUUUGUAACACCCGAAGUCGGUGGGGUAACCCUUGGAGCAGCCCAGAGUAACC
rnacentral:rRNA from 1 species